GUCCAGCUGACGAGUACCAAAUAAGGCGGAAUGCGCAUCCUGGAU
rnacentral:hammerhead_ribozyme from 1 species